GGCCGAGCUGCCCCGCGCCCCGCCCCGCGGCCGCCUCCUCCUCCGCCGAAGGGGCCGCGGCCCCGCGGGGGGCGGUGUGGGCCGGGCGUGGGCGGGCGGAGCGGUGGGCGCUGCCCCGGCGAGGGCCCGACUUGUGGUGCGGGCAGGAGCGGCCCGAGCUUGGCCCCGCUCUGCUGCUGUCCGCCUCCCGCCGGGCGCGGCAGGGCCCGAUGGCGGGCGGGCUGGGGCCGCGGCUGCUGGCCUUGGCCUUGGCCUUGGGGCCGGCAGGCGUGUGGGCACAGUGGAGGUUGAUGGUGUCUGGCGGAGGUCUGCGAGCACCUGGAGACUCCGUGCAUCUCUCCUGCCAGGGAUCUGGAUUCACCUUUGGAAGUUAUUAUGUCUUGUGGUACCGUCAGGCACCCGGUGGCAGUCUAGAGUGGGUGUCCUACAUCAACUCUCAGGGUGGAAUAAAAAAAUAUGGCAAAGCAGUGGAGGGCCGAGCCAGUGUCUCCCGGGACAAUUCCCUGUCCAAGUCUUUUCUGUCCCUGCAUGCCUUAGUACCCAAGGACUCUGCUCACUACUUCUGUGCAGUUCCCACAGGGACAGGAAACCCAGCUGAGCUUUAACACAAACCUGCUCCCAGGGUCCCUUCCCUUUUCUACAUGUAUUGCUGCCACCGAGAACCAGGAGGAGAAGCAAAACCAUAUUGUGCUGCGGAAGAGGGCAGAGAAUUGCCUUCAGCUCAGCCCUUUCCCACUUUGCCUGUCAGGACACUUGGGAUCAACAGCAGUGUCAGGGGCAAAAGGCCAGGUCAGCUGGAGUGCAGCAAGAAGGGCUGCACAGGCUUCCUCAUGAGAGGAAGUGCCUAGUGCUGCUCUUGGGUGCCAACAACCCCGUUCUAUGGGAUUGAUGGAUGUAACAAUCCCGUUCAGGCUUGUGGAAGAGUGAAUGGAAAGUGUCUUGGCCAAAGAGUACCUGCAAGAGCGCAUUGCUUUUUGUUUGACAGCCAGCUGAACACGAGCCAGUGGUGUGCCCCU